rnacentral:rRNA from 1 species
ACGAGGCACUACGGUGCUGAAGCAACAAAUGCCCUGCUUCCAGGAAAAGCCUCUAAGCAUCAGGUAACAUCAAAUCGUACCCCAAACCGACACAGGUGGUCAGGUAGAGAAUACCAAGGCGCUUGAGAGAACUCGGGUGAAGGAACUAGGCAAAAUGGUGCCGUAACUUCGGGAGAAGGCACGCUGACAUGUAGGUGAAGUGAUUUACUCAUGGAGCUGAAGUCAGUCGAAGAUACCAGCUGGCUGCAACUGUUUAUUAAAAACACAGCACUGUGCAAACACGAAAGUGGACGUAUACGGUGUGACGCCUGCCCGGUGCCGGAAGGUUAAUUGAUGGGGUCAGCGCAAGCGAAGCUCCUGAUCGAAGCCCCGGUAAACGGCGGCCGUAACUAUAACGGUCCUAAGGUAGCGAAAUUCCUUGUCGGGUAAGUUCCGACCUGCACGAAUGGCGUAAUGAUGGCCAGGCUGUCUCCACCCGAGACUCAGUGAAAUUGAACUCGCUGUGAAGAUGCAGUGUACCCGCGGCAAGACGGAAAGACCCCGUGAACCUUUACUAUAGCUUGACACUGAACAUUGAGCCUUGAUGUGUAGGAUAGGUGGGAGGCUUUGAAGUGUGGACGCCAGUCUGCAUGGAGCCGACCUUGAAAUACCACCCUUUAAUGUUUGAUGUUCUAACGUGGACCCGUGAUCCGGGUUGCGGACAGUGUCUGGUGGGUAGUUUGACUGGGGCGGUCUCCUCCUAAAGAGUAACGGAGGAGCACGAAGGUUGGCUAAUCCUGGUCGGACAUCAGGAGGUUAGUGCAAUGGCAUAAGCCAGCUUGACUGCGAGCGUGACGGCGCGAGCAGGUGCGAAAGCAGGUCAUAGUGAUCCGGUGGUUCUGAAUGGAAGGGCCAUCGCUCAACGGAUAAAAGGUACUCCGGGGAUAACAGGCUGAUACCGCCCAAGAGUUCAUAUCGACGGCGGUGUUUGGCACCUCGAUGUCGGCUCAUCACAUCCUGGGGCUGAAGUAGGUCCCAAGGGUAUGGCUGUUCGCCAUUUAAAGUGGUACGCGAGCUGGGUUUAGAACGUCGUGAGACAGUUCGGUCCCUAUCUGCCGUGGGCGCUGGAGAACUGAGGGGGGCUGCUCCUAGUACGAGAGGACCGGAGUGGACGCAUCACUGGUGUUCGGGUUGUCAUGCCAAUGGCACUGCCCGGUAGCUAAAUGCGGAAGAGAUAAGUGCUGAAAGCAUCUAAGCACGAAACUUGCCCCGAGAUGAGUUCUCCCUGAGACUUAGAGUCUCCUGAAGGAACGUUGAAGACGACGACGUUGAUAGGCCGGGUGUGUAAGCGCAGCGAUGCGUUGAGCUAACCGGUACUAAUGAACCGUGAGGCUUAACC